UGGGAAUAAAAUGCCAUAAAAUGUGGAUUACAGGAAAAGACAAUGAGGUGCCUUAGAGAAAAUUUGCCUAUUAAUGAGAAAGAACGCUGGGGUAGGGAGCUAGACUCAGCAGAGGGCCCGCAUGCUAGCAUGAAGCAGCCAUUCUGGAUAGAGUAUAAGGUUGUUCCUGAACCUGUCGACAUUCUCACCUUGGGAAUCCUGGAAAGAACACUUCA
rnacentral:lncRNA from 1 species